rnacentral:sRNA from 1 species
UUCAUAAUUCUGUAAAUACACACGUGUAUCGACACAUGGAAUAGGGUGCCUCUCGCCAAUCGGCUGGGGGUUGUUCCAUGGGAUGCGCGGAGGCUCAAC